rnacentral:rRNA from 1 species
AAUCAACGCUGGCGGCGUGCCUCAGACAUGCAAGUCGAACGAUUAAAGCUCUCUUCGGAGAGUGCAUAGAGUGGCGCACGGGUGAGUAACACGUAAGUAAUCUACCCUCGAGUGGGGAAUAACGUCCGGAACGGACGCUAAUACCGCAUAAUGCAGCGGCACCGCAAGGUGACAGUUGUUAAAGAUUUAUCGCUUGAGGAGGAGCUUGCGGCAGAUUAGCUAGUUGGUAAGGUAAUGGCUUACCAAGGCUACGAUCUGUAACCGGUCUUAGAGGACGGUCGGUCACACUGACACUGAAUAACGGGUCAGACUCCUACGGGAGGCAGCAGUC